GACGAACGCUGGCGGCGUGCUUAACACAUGCAAGUCGAACGGAAAGGCCCUGCUUUUGUGGGGUGCUCGAGUGGCGAACGGGUGAGUAACACGUGAGUAACCUGCCCUUGAAUUUGGGAUAACUUCAGGAAACUGGGGCUAAUACAGGAUAGGAGCUCCUGCUGCAUGGGGGGGGUUGGAAAGUUGCGGCGGUUGGGGAUGGGAUGGAGGGUUAUCAGCUUGUUGGGGGGGUAGUGGUUUACCAAGGGUUCGAGGGGUAGCCGGCCUGAGAGGGGGACCGGGCACAUUGGGACUACGAGACGGCCCAGACUGCUACGGGAGGCAGCGGGGGGGAGUAUUGCGCAGUGGGCGGGAGCCUGAUGCAGCAACGCCGCGUGCGGGAAAACGGCCUUCGGGUGGAAAACCGCUGUCGCCUGUGACGAAGCGUGAGUGACGGUAACGGGUAAAAAAGCACCGGCUAACUACGUG
rnacentral:rRNA from 1 species